rnacentral:rRNA from 1 species
AGUUUKAAUCCUGGCUUCAGRAKUGAACGYUGGCGGUAGRCMUUAACACAUGCAAGUCGAACGGCAGCACAGGRGRAGCWUGCUCYWUKGGUGGCGAGWGGCGGACGGGUGAGGAAWUACAUCGGAAUCUACUCUGUCKUGGGGGGAUAAACGUAGGGAAAMUUACGYUAAUACCGCAUACGACUACGGGUGAAAGCAGGGGAYCUUCGGGCCUUGCGCGAUUGAAUGAGCCGAUGUCGGAUUAGCUAGUUGGCGGGGUAAAGGCCCACCAAGGCGACGAUCCGUAGCUGGUCUGAGAGGAUGAUCAGCCACACUGGAACUGAGACACGGUCCAGACUCCUACGGGAGGCAGCAGUGGGGAAUAUUGGACAAUGGGCGCAAGCCUGAUCCAGCCAUACCGCGUGGGUGAAGAAGGCCUUCGGGUUGUAAAGCCCUUUUGUUGGGAAAGAAAUCCAGCUGGCUAAUACCCGGUUGGGAUGACGGUACCCAAAGAAUAAGCACCGGCUAACUUCGUGCCAGCAGCCGCGGUAAUACGAAGGGUGCAAGCGUUACUCGGAAUUACUGGGCGUAAAGCGUGCGUAGGUGGUCGUUUAAGUCCGUUGUGAAAGCCCUGGGCUCAACCUGGGAACUGCAGUGGAUACUGGGCGACUAGAGUGUGGUAGAGGGUAGCGGAAUUCCUGGUGUAGCAGUGAAAUGCGUAGAGAUCAGGAGGAACAUCCAUGGCGAAGGCAGCUACCUGGACCAACACUGACACUGAGGCACGAAAGYGUGGRGRGCAAACAGGAUUAGAUACCCUGGUAGUCCACGCCYUAAACGAUGCGAACUGGAUGUUGGGUGCAAUUUGGCACGCAGUAUCGAAGCUAACGCGUUAAGUCSSCCGCYKGG